rnacentral:misc_RNA from 1 species
GGAAUCGCCCAUCUAGUCUCACUUAAUUAAAUGUGCAAAAGUUUAAAAAAUUUAGUGUACUCGCUUUAGAAUUUAUAUCUAGAAAAAAAAAUUUCCUCAUUCUAAUUCUAUGGACUAUUAUUUUAGCAUUUUAUGAAUUUUUUGAUUUCUAAUGUAUAUUCGAUCUUGUGUCAUAUUGUUUUAAUUAUUUUGUAAGGACCAAAAAAGAAUUUUUCUUGGCUGUAUUGUAUUUGUAGUAGAAAUUUUUAGAUUGUUACUUAAUUUUGCAUUGGUUUGACAUGAUAUUCAAAGAAACUGUCAGAGAGACAAAACUAGAACUAUGUAGUGGCCCAAAACAAAUCCGAGUGGGUAAUGUGAGGUUGUUAUUUUAAUUAACACAAUUGUUUGCAAUAUGUUGUAAAAAUGAUGUAAUUCAUUUCUCACAUUUGUCAAUAAAAAGUAUACAAGUUUUU